rnacentral:sRNA from 1 species
CUGUAUGUUUUUCAUACAAAGCAGCACAACUUGCCGCUGUGUCCUUAGCCAAGAUAAAAAAAAACAUGCUGCGCUUGCACCGUCUACAUUUACUUACUAAAAGUUAUGGGUAGUAUGUACGCCGGCUAAUUUCCUACUGUUUGGAAA